UUUAUGGGAAUUCCAUGGACAGGAUUGAUGCAAUCCCAGUUCCAUCCACGAAUUAAAAAUGGACAACGGAGUGCGGUGGUCGGAACUCCCGCCGGAGAUAUGGUCGGCAGUCGGAAAACACCUUCACAACUACAUCGAUGCCGUCCGAUUUCGCAGCGUUUGCCGAUCAUGGCGGUCCUCUGUUCCUCCUGUCCCCAAAGUAUCUCCUCCUAUUCGUCUCCGAUUUCCCUCCCCAAUCAACACUGCAAGUCUCUUCGUCGACGCCUUCCUCUCCCAAAGUACCUUCUAUCGUCUCGCUCCUCUCAUCCACGAACAGAGCCCUAACUCGUCUUCCUAUAACCAGAAUGGCCGACUGGUGAAGCUGGAGAAAUCGGAGCUCGGUAAGAUGCGGUUUCUUCAUCCUCUGUCCAAGCGCCGAAUCCGAUGCAAUCCGGAAGAACACAAGGAACUGAACUUACUGGAUCUUCGAAUCGACGAAUUAGCCAUAUCGUAUUCGCUCAAAUACACUGAUACUGCUUGUGUUCCUGGAAUCGCUAAAGUCGUGGUGCUCCCUACAUCCACCGGACCAGACGUUGAAGAUUGUACUGUAAUCGCAGUGUUUGAGGACGGGAAGUUAGGGUUUGCCAGAUGUGGAGACGAGAAAUGGACUCUAAUCGACGAACAGAAUUUCCACUACGACGAUGUGAUUGUCUACAAUCGGCAGUACUACGCAGUCGAUAGAUGGGGAACUGUUUUCUGGAUCGAUUCCUCGAUGCGAUUGGUACAAUUUUCUCCCCCUCUGAUCGGUCUUGGCCAGCAGAAGCACUUGGUGGAGUGCGGCGGCGAACUUCUGGUAAUCGAUCGGUUCCUCGACAAAGAGCGUUCGGUUCAACAUCCAACCGAUAUCAUGGACGACGCACAUCCUAUAGCGAUUCCAUUUCGACGGCCGGAUAACGAUUCUUCACCAAGAGCAGUCGAUUUCAAGGCUCAUAAGCUGGAUCAAGAAUGGGGGACAUGGGUGGAGCUGAAGAAUUUGGGGAAUCGAUCAAUUAUAUUGGGGAACGACUGUUGUUUAUCAGUUGAAGCGUCGGAAUUUGAAGGAUGCAAAGAGAAUUGCAUUUACUACGCCGAUGUUAACGACAACGAGUUCUCUAAAAGAAGUUGCAGCCGUGUGUUCGAUCUUGAAGGAAGAAGAAUCGGAAACAUAUUGGGUUAUCCUGGACGCAUCGGAAUCUUCAGCCCGCCGCCGAUUUGGCUCUCCAAAUCCCUUCCCCCUCUGAAGGACAUCCUGUUUGCUGGCUCUCCACAUCGCCAUGAAAACUAGCAGCUGGAAGGAAACUGGCGUCUGGAUCAUCAAAUAUCACAAUUUGAACCAAUCAAACUUGCAAGGAUGAGCUCUAGUGAAGGGUGUUCGGGUGCUCUCCUAUUUGACUUUUCAGAGUAGUUAUGUACUCUCUAGGGAUGGAGCCUAGUCAACGAUUGCGCAUUUGUUUUUAAUUAAGAAAAAAAUUAUUUGAAACAUAAUAUUUUGUGUAUUAUGUAUAUAUAUAUAUAAUUAAAUUCACUUAAAUCAUUAAUUACUGUAAUAAUCCAAAUUAUACCACUAAACGUGGGC